UACGGGGGGGGUAAGCGUUGUUCGGAAUUACUGGGCGUAAAGCGCACGUAGGCGGCCUGUUAAGUCGGGUGUGAAAGCCCUGGGCUCAACCCAGGAAGUGCACACGAAACUGGCAGGCUUGAAUAUGGAAGAGGGUCGCGGAAUUCCCGGUGUAGAGGUGAAAUUCGUAGAUAUCGGGAGGAACACCAGUGGCGAAGGCGGCCGAGCCUGGGCCG
rnacentral:rRNA from 1 species